ensembl:snoRNA U3 Small nucleolar RNA U3
UUGGGACAUCUAUAAGAGAUUAUUUCUUUAGUUCCUUUCUAGAGAAGUUCUCUGAUCAUACAGAAUACCAGAAACCACAAGGAUGAAGUAUAAUGUUCUCUGACUCUUGGUGUUGCUUUGCUGCAACUGCCAUUUGCGUUGAUGACCGGUCUUCUCAUCUUUUGGAGAGUAAGAGGGAGAGAAUGUGGCUGAGU